rnacentral:lncRNA from 10 species
UUUUGUCUCUCUCCACAUCCACCACCAUCACAAGCAGCAGCAGCAGGAGCAUCCUCAAACGAAGAAAACCCCUCCAAAGUGCCCCGAAUGUGUGCUGCUGCUGGCUCUGAAGCCGUGUAGAAUUUCGUAAUGGAAUGUGAACUGCUCGUCCGGAUCUGGGCUCACGUUCUAUCUCCUAACCAGUAAGGAGCGAGGGAGGGCAAAUCUGCUGAGCAAGGAGAAAUACUUUCCUCCUCUUUUAUAACCCAUCACGGAUGCACGGCGGCCGAGGGGCGCGAGCUGCACGCGGCGCCUGUCAAGCGGCCCGGGCCCGCACCCCGUGGGGUCCCCGCGUCCCCCAGCUCCCCGCCCCGCCCGGAGAGAAAGGUGGCCUCGCCCAUCGGUGGGCUCGGCCGACGCGCCCCGCACUCACGCGCGGCCGCGGAGCAGGUCACAUCCUCGACGCGCCCUUGGCCCGGUCCAGAAAACACGCCGCUUCCCAGGGAGGGGGUCGGCGACGGGAAGGACCUCCCCUGCUCCUUAGCAACCAUUAAGGUCGCAGUUUCCUAAGAGACCGCGAGCGGGGAGGGGGCGCGGGGGGCCCGGCCCAAGGCUUGUGCGGGAAGUUGGGGGCGGGGGGGGCAGCAACAGGCCCCCUCCCCCCACCCAGCUAGACGCCGGGGGCCGGGAUGGGAGGAGGAAGGGAAGCCCCAGAACUCGUGAAAAACUGGUCCAGCGGGCGGCGGACAAAAGUUUCCGAGCGCGCUCCACAGCUGGGCGGCGGAGCGGGCCCCGGCGGCCGGCCCCGCCUCGGAUGCUCCCGGCCUCCUUCCUGUGCUCGUGACGGCGCCGAGCCCCCCACCCCCCCCGCCCGCGAGGCAGGCUAGCUCCACACCGAGGGCUCCCACGAAAACACUCACCCCGCCAACGGAAGGGCGAGGGAACAAUACGUGCCCGCACGGCUAGGGCCCGGUCCCCUCCUCCCCAGGCCCCCCGGGGCGGUGGUCGGCGUGACCACGACCGCCAGCCGGGAACCCGCGAGGGCGCGGGGCUGCCCGCGGCCCCCUCCCGGCCGGCGCCGUCCGCCCGGGAGGUUCAAAGUCCGCAGAGCAGGGCGCGGCGGAUGCUCCCACCGAGCAGCCCCGAGCAGGCACCCCCGGAUACCUUAGGGCGGCGGCGGGAGGGCGGGCGCCGUCAUCUCCGCGCUUCCCGGCCCGAGAAGGACUCGAAAGUAUGUAGGAGAAAAGUUUCCCCUCCCACAUGGGGGGGAGGAUGUCGAGGGAGAGAGGGCGGAAGAUGGAGAGCAGCGCUGGGAAGAUGUUUCUGGCCGGCGGUGCGCGCACCAUCCGAGUCCCGGCGGUGCUG